AGUCACUGACAUUAGAUACCCGCGUAGUCCAGGGUGCAAACGCUGCAGACUUGGUGUUGGAAGCCCUUUGGGGGCAUUCAGUGCCGGAGAGAAGUUGUUAAGUCUGCUACUUGGGGAGUACGUCCGCAAGGAUGAAACUUAAAGGAAUUGGCGGGGGAGCACCGCAACGGGAGGAGCGUGCGGUUUAAUUGGAUUCAACACCGUAAAACUCACCAGGGAAGACUGUUACAUGAAGGCCGAGAUGAAGACUCUGCUAGAUUUUCAG
rnacentral:rRNA from 1 species